UGAGGAAUAUUGGUCAAUGGACGCAAGUCUGAACCAGCCAUGCCGCGUGCAGGAUGACGGCUCUAUGAGUUGUAAACUGCUUUUGUACGAGGGUAAAAUGAGAUACGUGUAUCUCACUGAAAGUAUCGUAUGAAUAAGGAUCGGCUAACUCCGUGCCAGCAGCCGCGGUAAUACGGAGGAUCCAAGCGUUAUCCGGAUUUAUUGGGUUUAAAGGGUGCGUAGGCGGUUUAUUAAGUCAGUGGUGAAAUCUCGGGGCUUAACCUCGAAAUUGCCAUUGAUACUGAUGAACUAGAGAGUAGUUGCGGUAGGCGGAAUGUAUGGUGUAGCGGUGAAAUGCUUAGAGAUCAUACAGAACACCGAUUGCGAAGGCAGCUUACCAAACUAUAUCUGACGUUGAGGCACGAAAGCGUGGGGAGCAAACAGG
rnacentral:rRNA from 2 species